GGGAAGUCGCAGCAAAAGAAUUUCAGAAAUGUACUGAUGUCAUGCUCUGCAGGAAGACAGAAAAAAAGCACAAGGUGUCUACUUGCAUCGUAAACAUUGUGGCAUUCGGAGAACAGUGUGAACAAUGUUGAAAACUUCUCUGCGAUGCAUUCUGCCUCCUUGUGCUUAGCUGGACAGAGAUGAGACGUUUCAUCAACGAUUGAAGAUUUUCCACAGUGACAUCCUGCACGUCCACCGUGUCAUUGAUCAGCGCAACAACUGCUAGCUGUUCCUUGAGGUCAUCAAUCUGACCGCGAAUCUCCUCAGCCCUGUCCCUGGCAGCAAAAACAUCUGAGAGUU